GUAAUAAUCCUGUAGUCGAAAAUGUUGUCUCUCUUGAGUGGAUCCUGAGUACGACGGAGCACGUGAAAUUCCGUCGGAAUCUGGGAGGACCAUCUCCUAAGGCUAAAUACUCUCUAGUGACCGAUAGUGAACCAGUACCGUGAGGGAAAGGUGAAAAGCACCCCGGAAGGGGAGUGAAAUAGAACCUGAAACCGUGUGCUUACAAGUAGUCAGAGCCCGUUAAUGGGUGAUGGCGUGCCUUUUGUAGAAUGAACCGGCGAGUUACGAUUUGAUGCAAGGUUAAGCAGUAAAUGUGGAGCCGUAGCGAAAGCGAGUCUGAAUAGGGCGUUUAGUAUUUGGUCGUAGACCCGAAACCAGGUGAUCUACCCUUGGUCAGGUUGAAGUUCAGGUAACACUGAAUGGAGGACCGAACCGACUUACGUUGAAAAGUGAGCGGAUGAACUGAGGGUAGCGGAGAAAUUCCAAUCGAACCUGGAGAUAGCUGGUUCUCUCCGAAAUAGCUUUAGGGCUAGCCUCAAGUGAUGAUUAUUGGAGGUAGAGCACUGUUUGGACGAGGGGCCCCUCUCGGGUUACCGAAUUCAGACAAACUCCGAAUGCCAAUUAAUUUAACUUGGGAGUCAGAACAUGGGUGAUAAGGUCCGUGUUCGAAAGGGAAACAGCCCAGACCACCAGCUAAGGUCCCAAAAUAUAUGUUAAGUGGAAAAGGAUGUGGCGUUGCCCAGACAACUAGGAUGUUGGCUUAGAAGCAGCCAUCAUUUAAAGAGUGCGUAAUAGCUCACUAGUCGAGUGACACUGCGCCGAAAAUGUACCGGGGCUAAACAUAUUACCGA
rnacentral:rRNA from 1 species